GGAGAAACAAUAACAUGGUUUCUGCUUCUCUUUUGCCUCUCAAAUCUCAUGCUAGUGCUUCUGGCUGGUGCAUUCUAACCUGGAACCCUGCUGAUGGGAAUUGUGAGGAAUGUGGCUUCCGGGCUUCUGGCUCCUGCGACACGGAGGCAAGCUUGGGGCAGAGGGAGAAAGAAAGAAAUAGAAUGACAGAUCCCCGUGACAUUGUGUGACACAUAUGAACAUCAUCUGUUGACUGUGGCAGUGAAGAAGACAAAACCAUAGACGGUGCCAGGCGUAGAGAAUCAAAGAGGCAUCGCACGUGCUGGAUGUGAAAGAAAGGAACUCAGAGAAGAGUAAGUGACUGAUUCCGCCACCAACGAAAAUUUCUACAGUGUUGUAAGAAGACUUUAAUAAUUCAAAUGCCACUCUUUGAGAGAAGUGACAGUAUGCAUAUAAACAUAGCACGGUAAACGUUUAGAGUCUAAAUUAAACUCCGGCUGAGAGGUUUUUCCCAACAGAUUUUAAAUUCACAGAGAGAUGCUGAACGAUUGGCCUGAACUGACUGGUCUCUUGGCGAGGCUGAAAGCAAGAUGCCCUCUGGCUGCUCUCUCUCCCUCAGAUGCUGCCGAGUGUGUGCUGUGGCCUUUGGCAAAAGUAAGGAUUGUGCCUUGAAAACACCAUUUUGCCUGAGAUUCUUUGGGGACAUAUCUAACCACCAAUGAAUAACAGCUUCUUCAUCUUAACAAAUUUAUCCCCGACCUUUACUGCUAUGUGAAGAAUAUCAUAUGGAAUUGGAAGACGGCUACUCUGUCUUCCAAGAUCAGAAUUGCAUGUUGCAGACACUGUCGAAGAUGCCAAAGAAGAAAGAGGGUCCACCCUGUCAAAGUGAUGGAUAUGACUGAUACUCAGAGUUCUCUGGACUCUUGAGAAUGGAGACUGCCUGCUUCAUGGAGUGUGAAAUAAAAUUUCCUUAGAUCAAUGAAAUGCAGAUCAACUGAACUGUUCUCUUUGGUUAUCUUAACAGACUUAAACAUGUCAUUUUGGGGGGACACAGUUCAACCCAUAAGACGUAGAGCAUCAGCCAUCCUAAUCCAUAUGCUUUAAAAUUUCAUAGAGUUUCUCAGAUUUUAUUAUGUCACCCAUCACUUUUAAUUUUUGACCUUUUACAUUUUAUCUUUUAUUGAAUUAUUAUGACUGUUUUACUAAAAGAUUGGAAGAGCUAUUCUGGAGUUGGUAUCCAGAUGCCAUUUUGAACCAUAUUAUUAUUCUUUUCUCUUGAGUGUUAUCUUGCAUGGUGAUUUGGUACUUUCUUUUAAUAUUUUUAGGAGACUAUUUCAAGGAAAAAUGGGAAUCAGAUAAGUUAAAAGAUGAGCAAUGAGUUGAUGAGGUGCAUUUGUACUGUGUCACUGUGAAAGCUCACAUCGCUCUAAUAAAUCCUUUAUUCCACAUAUCUCUUAGUGGUUUUGCUUCUCUGAUCAAACCCUGACUGAUGUAGUUAAAAGAGGGAGCAGCAGUUCAAGCUCUGAAAAACAGCUGGGAUUUUUUUUUGGUUCCAACCCAUCAAAAAGGGAAUCAUGCCCAAUUUUGAAAGACAAUUUGAUUUAUCCCAGAAAAUAGAUAAAGCAUCAGAAUUGAUGUGAUCCAAGGCUGUGUUUCAGCCAGCUUUUGCUGGAUAGUUGCUCCUUUCCUGUAUUUGACCUAAUAAAAUCAGAGAUUUUCUUCAAGUAAGCCAUUUGUCAUUGCCUAUAAAUCUGUUCUAUGUCUGUUGCAGAUACCAUGUAACAAAAUAAUGAUUAAUAAAAAUAUUAAUGCACGUCAGCUGUCUUUCACAUAACCUACAGAUACUAAUGUAUGAACAUGUGUGCAUGUUUUUUGUUCAAAGAC
ensembl:lncRNA